rfam:Brassica napus, WGS project CCCW01000000 data, contig: 38565
AGAAUAUAAGAACCCGAUUCUUAAAUUUUAACCGAAAAUGCUAAGAGUCGGCUCUUAAAUAGAUAUUUAAGAGCCGACUCUUAGCAUUUUCAGUUAAAAAUUAAGAGUCAGGUUCUUAUAUUCC